GGCCGCCUGGCGAAAUGGCAUCGCGUCUGACUACGACCUGUCGGAAUCAGGAGAUUGCAGGUUCGACCCCUGCGGUGGUCA